AUCCGGUUGAUCCUGGCAGAGGUCACUGCUAUCGGGGUUCGAUUAAGCCAUGCGAGUCGAGAGGGUUCAGACCCUCGGCGGACUGCUCAGUAACACGUGGAUAAUCUGCCCUAUGGUGGAGGAUAACCCCGGGAAACUGGUUUUUAUUACUCCAUAAGUCAGGAGUACUGGAAUGUCUCCUAACUGAAAGUUGCGGCGCCAUAGAUGAUUCCGUCCCCCUCUUAGGUAGUUGUUGGGGUAACGGCCCAACAAGCUUUGUAUUCGGUACGGGUUGUGGGACCACGACCCUGGAGAUGGAAUCUGAGACACGAUUCCAGGCCCUACGGGGCGCAGCAGGCGCGAAUACUUUACAAUGCAGAUACUGUGAUAAGGUAUCCCGAGUGCCCGUAACGCGGCUGUCCCAGUGUUAAAACACAUCGGAGAAGGGCGGGUCAGAUCUGUGCCAGCGCGCGUAAUACGGCGGCUCGGAGUGAUGAACACUUUUAUGGACUAAAGCGUCGUACUGAUUUUAGUCUCUAGAUUCUCCAGGCUUACUGGAAGGUCUAGAAUACUGGCAAUCGAUCGCAGUUAAAGUA
rnacentral:rRNA from 1 species